rnacentral:tRNA from 1 species
GGCUGGUUAGCUCAGUCGGUUGGAGCGUGGUGCUGUUAACACCAAGGUCACAGGUUCGAUUCCUGUUUGGUCCC